rnacentral:rRNA from 2 species
AUGUUACGGGGUCGUAAAACUCUGUUGUUAGGGAAGAACAAGUACGAGAGUAACUGCUCGUACCUUGACGGUACCUAACCAGAAAGCCACGGCUAACUACGUGCCAGCAGCCGCGGUAAUACGUAGGUGGCAAGCGUUAUCCGGAAUUAUUGGGCGUAAAGCGCGCGCAGGCGGUUUCUUAAGUCUGAUGUGAAAGCCCACGGCUCAACCGUGGAGGGUCAUUGGAAACUGGGGAACUUGAGUGCAGAAGAGAAAAGCGGAAUUCCACGUGUAGCGGUGAAAUGCGUAGAGAUGUGGAGGAACACCAGUGGCGAAGGCGGCUUUUUGGUCUGUAACUGACGCUGAGGCGCGAAAGCGUGGGGAGCAAACAGGAUUAGAUACCCUGGUAGUCCACGCCGUAAACGAUGAGUGCUAAGUGUUAGAGGGUUUCCGCCCUUUAGUGCUGCAGCUAACGCAUUAAGCACUCCGCCUGGGGAGAUUAA